rnacentral:lncRNA from 1 species
GAAAAGAGAGUGCAAUAGGCAAGACGUAAGUAGAAGGUGUGGCCAAAAAUAAAAGGACCAAGCAUAUAAUCCACCAACGAGUAGUGUCUGACUUGUUAUACCAUAUUCGAUCCCCACACAUAAUCACAUCAAUGCAUUACAUUUACUUCCAUUGAAAAUGAAAACCAAGGCACCAUGCCAGAAAAUAUAAUGAACCAAACAAAAGAUCGACCACUGUAGAAAAUAUAACUCAGGGAGGGAGAAAGUAACUAACCAUUUGGAUCUGUGAGAAACCAAAGAAGCCACAACAUGUCCAUUUCCACAGUCAUCACAAGUCAAAUAUGAAAAACAAGGAGCAAAGAACAAACUGUUAAGAGUUGUAUAAACAAUAAACCAAGACAAAGACAGGUGAAAGAAGCUGAAGAAAAUGCAGAAAAUGAAAAAAAGCAGAGAGAAGAUUCAAGGUAAGUUGAAGAUACACAUACCAUUGAUCCAAUUCUUGCGAGGCUGGAAAUGAUAACCGGUUCUGUAAGGGUCUUUAGCUUGGGGAUGUGUUGAAGUAAGUUGGGUAGUUUGAAGGUUGC